rnacentral:rRNA from 1 species
UACGUAGGGUGCGAGCGUUAAUCGGAAUUACUGGGCGUAAAGCGUGCGUAGGCGGUCCGCAAAGUCUGAUGUGAAAGCCCCGGGCUCAACCUGGGAACUGCAUUGGAAACUAACGGGCUCGAGUGUGGCAGAGGGGAGUGGAAUUCCACGUGUAGCAGUGAAAUGCGUAGAGAUGUGGAGGAACACCGAUGGCGAAGGCAGCCCCCUGGGCUAACACUGACGCUCAGGCACGAAAGCGUGGGGAGCAAACAGG